rnacentral:SRP_RNA from 1 species
CGCUGGGUCCCGGCCGGUGGAUCGGUCGUGAAACCCGCCAGGUCCGGAAGGAAGCAACGGUAGCGUUUCGCUCCAGGUGGCCGGAUCGGCCCAGCGGUC